GCCAACCGAGGGAAACGCGGCAGAGGAGUCAAAGCCCGAACUCGGCGACUGACGAGGCAACUCUGUGGGGACAAAGCUUUCCAAAGCCGAGGGGGGGCUGGAUUCUCCGUAGCAGAGUUACCACAUCAAGAUGCUUUAUCCUCCCCCUGAAUUCAGAACAGACAUCACAUGAGAAAUACUCUCUGCACAACCUCUGCUGAUCAAAGGAUCAUUAUUCUGAUGAGCAGUCAAGGCGGCUUCAGUCAAACUGUCAUAAUGAACUUACUUGGCUUCUGGGUCAUAUUCAGCCCAGAUCCUCUUGAACUCGUCAAGAUGAUGCGGCCCCAGGAUCGACCAAUCUCGUGUCAGGAAGGCACAGAGCAUGUAGAAGCUGACAAAGUAAAUGAUGGCAAACUGGCUGCCACAGUCCUCGAAUGGCGAGCUGUUCUCAUUGGUUGAUCCCUUCUCACAUGGCCGACUGGGCGAGCACGCCAGCAUGAUCUCCUGCCACGCCUCACCAGUUGCACAUCUGACAGACAGAUACAUGCACAUACAGACAUGCACACAAACACAAAUAUGCACACGCACCAGAAAUACGCAUGCAAAGACACGCAGAGAUAAAUACACCAAAGAAACAUAUAGAGGCACACAAACAUGCAUAGAUGUGCACAUAUGGGCAAAAGUGCACCAGUAGUCACAUGUGCAUUUAUGCAUUACCACGUACACACAGGGAUGGGUGCACGUGUCCAUAGAAGCAUAUAAUACACAGACACACACAUAUA